CGAGUCACUGAGGUGCCGAAGGGAAACUGUGAAACGUACCGCCUGGGAAGUACGGUCGCAAGGCUGAAACUUAAAGGAAUUGGCGGGGGAGCACCACAACAGGUGGAGCCUGCGGUUUAAUUGGACUCAACGCCGGACAUCUCACCGGAUAAGACAGCUGAAUGAUUGUCGGGCUGAAGACUCUACUUGACUAGCUGAGAGGAGG
rnacentral:rRNA from 1 species